CAACGUUUCAGUGCCAAUGUGUCGGUUGGAGAGUUAUCCCUGCCAGGGAAUCUGUUACUCCCCCCUAGACACCCAGGAAGAUUUGGCAUUGCUUGACAACAGUUUGAGGCAGGAUAAAGAGCUCCAGCAACGAUUUCUUUGGUUUUUGGCAAUCAAAUGUGGGAGGGACCUAAAGACAACCGUGUGUGAAUGCUUCAGAGUAUCUUCUCUAAUCAACUUUCCAUCAAUACAACCUGGACUGGUGUAGGGGAUAAAGCAUGUUUUAGAGACAUGUUCCUGAAGACCAUUGUUCAAAGAGCCAUCCGGAAGAACCCGGCAACCCAGGAUGCCACUGAUGAGGCGAUCCAGGUUAACGUUACGCGUUACCUGAAAGGAGCAUCUGAACAUGAAGGUGGAAAAAGGCGCCACACAGCUGAGAGGGACCCACAGCCGACCCCUUAAACCUAGGCUGACUACUGACACCCCAGCAUCACUGACAACUGGAACCCUUUCUUUAUCCUGCAGUCAGUAACAUCAAGACCCCUAAAAAAGCCUGCUAAAAGUGUCAGACUACACUCACCCAAUCCACACUGUUCACUGUGGAAAUUUGUCUUUUUUUUUUUUUUUCUCUCGUGACCCUGCUUUGAGGGCAGCUCCUUGGAUGAAUAUGGGACGGUUUGUCCUUUUAUACAGGCGCACGAGGAAUCACUGAAGAUAUGCCAAUUUGCACUGCCUCAUUCUGGAGGUCGGGGAAAACCGGUGAUUCUUAGCCCACUACGCCACGCAGUCCACAACCUCGCCAGACAUUCUGAUUGGCUGUGUUCUCUACAGCCAGAUUUUCUGCUGUUAAUUAUAUUUAUUCCCACUUGUUGUCAUGUGUAAGUUGAAUGUCAAAAUGUAUAUUAUACCUGUUAUCCUGCACAUUCCUUGAUACCAAAGAUCUCAAUUAUUUCAUAUACAAUUUGCUGCUUAUUUCAUUGUUACAGUGCUUAACUAUUCUAUUUUUAAAUAUAGCUUGUAAAUCCUAGAUUAUACAUCUAAUACUUGAUAUCUGCAUAUUAUCUGGUAUCAAAUA